AUCUGUGUGACCCCAGUUCCCGGUACAUCUGUCCUGUCAUGCUGAUGUCACGUUGGACUGUGAUCUAGAACCUGCAGCUGUUUCUCUCUGUUCAUGACAGGAUUUGAUGCUGGGGGUUGAUAAAAAUUGAACUCCACAUUACAAUCUUAGGACAAAAUAACUGACUCUGCUGCUUUUUUGAUUACAGACUGUGCUGGACUUGUGGCUGGAAAUGGUCUCCUCUACAUUCUCACUGCCAUAUCAGGCUUUUAUCACCCUGGAGAAACAUCUGAGAUACCGAAGGUUCAUAAGACUCUGUACAUGGUUGGAGCUGCAGGUCUCCCGUGUGUGAAUUCAGUCACGCUGGGAGCAGAGUUCAUCAUGAGAAUAACUACGGGAGAGAGGAUGAUUGCAGAUCUGCGUGUUUUCAUCCUGCUUUAUGAAUCUGUGUUUGCCUCCGGUUGGCUGCUGCUGCAGAUUUAUUGUUGCUGUAGGUACUGAUGCAUUGGACAUUAUUAGGAUUAUUAGGUUUCUACUAAAGAAAUGCACUCAAAUCUUCUACAUUGA
ensembl:lncRNA